rnacentral:rRNA from 1 species
AUUGAACGCUGGCGGCAGGCUUAACACAUGCAAGUCGAACGAGUGGCGGACGGGUGAGUAAUGCUUGGGAAUCUAGCUUAUGGAGGGGGAUAACUACGGGAAACUGUAGCUAAUACCGCGUACCAUAGGAUGAGCCCAAGGGGGAUUAGGUAGUGGGUGAGGUAAAGGCUAACCAAGCAGACGAUCUCUAGCUGGUCUGAGAGGAUGACCAGCCACACUGGAACUGAGACACGGUCCAGACUCCUACGGGAGGCAGCAGUGGGGAAUAUUGCACAAUGGGCGCAAGCCUGAUGCAGCCAUGCCGCGUGUGUGAAGAAGGCCUUCGGGUUGUAAAGCACUUUCAGCGGGGAGGCGUUACCCGCAGAAGAAGCACCGGCUAACUCCGUGCCAGCAGCCGCGGUAAUUC